rnacentral:rRNA from 1 species
UACGUAGGUGGCAAGCGUUGUCCGGAAUUAUUGGGCGUAAAGCGCGCGCAGGCGGUCCUUUAAGUCUGAUGUGAAAGCCCUCGGCUCAACCGAGGAGGGUCAUUGGAAACUGGAGGACUUGAGUGCAGAAGAGGAGAGUGGAAUUCCACGUGUAGCGGUGAAAUGCGUAGAGAUGUGGAGGAACACCAGUGGCGAAGGCGACUCUCUGGUCUGUAACUGACGCUGAGGCGCGAAAGCGUGGGGAGCAAACAGG